GGGUAACCUGCCCUGUACAGGGGGAGUAACAGUCAGAAAUGACUGCUAAUACCGCAUAAGACCACAGCACCGCAUGGUGCAGGGGUAAAAACUCCGGUGGUACAGGAUGGACCCGCGUCUGAUUAGCUGGUUGGUGAGGUAACGGCCCACCAAGGCGACGAUCAGUAGCCGGCCUGAGAGGGUGAACGGCCACAUUGGGACUGAGACACGGCCCAAACUCCUACGGGAGGCAGCAUG
rnacentral:rRNA from 1 species